UGCUGAUAGAAAUCUGACUCUUGGCUGUAUCAGUGUCAAUAUUCUGGUUGUGAUAGCGCACCAAGGUUACACGUACACAGGAUCUAUUCCUUACAACUGCAUGUGAAUCUACAAUUAUCUCAAAAUAAAACAUUUAACUACGAAGAAAAAUAUUAUGAGAGUUUUGUGCUUAAAUAGAUACAUUUUUAAAAGUCAACAUAUCCCUCUUGACCCCAGCUGCACAAAGGCAUCGCUACUUGCGAAGCCCACACGCUGGUUAAGCACACUUUCACAUAUUGUGGCUGGCAGUACUCAACUUGUGGUGAACUAACAUUUAGUUUUUAGUUCUGAUAUGAAAAGCGGCGCUUCAUUGCUCUCCUGCCUCCAAGGCUACAAUCCCUAGGACAGAGCUUCCCCUCCCCCAUGUGCAUUUCCUCUGCCACUGGGGCAUAUGGUUGCUUCCAUCCAUUUCUCUGCCUUCCUUAAAAAGCACGCUUUUGAUACUUGGAGAAACUCCAGAACCUUGGGCUGGCAUUCAAGACAGUCACUCUCCUAUGACAGGGUGCACAUAAGGGGUGGUUAGAUGGUUUCAAUUCGUUACCAUAAAAUGCUGCUGUGGCUCCCCCAUAUUCAGAAGGUGAGAAGCAAGCAUUACAGUAGAAGUCCGUUGAAGGCAGCUUGUAAUUACACGUUACUGAGUAUGCCAUGAGUCAAAUCAUGGCCACUGAAAUGGAACUCCGUAUUCUCGAAAUAGUUCAGCUGUGAGGUCUAGGGGCUGAUUUAUUUCUGUUUCUCCAAUUUAAGCCCUUGUGCAUGACCCUGUAACUACCACCUAGCUGAGAAUAGAUGGGCAGCACGGGGAGGGACCCAGAGCUUUGGACUAGGGCACCUCAGAAACUAAGUGAGGAAGGGCUGGUGUGCCAGGAGGGUGGGAGCAGAGAAGACCCAGUGUGACACCAGGCUCUCACUUCACCUCAGGCGGAUCUAGAAACUGAAGCCCUUCAAACCCUCUACCCUGUAGGCACUCGCCAUUUACACACCACUGGAGUAAGAGCCCAAAGCAAAAAACGUCACCAGAAAUGACAACAGCAAUGACAACAAUCAUGAAAGCAGGAAGCUUUUGGAGGAAACCAGGCCAGUGAAAUGCACUUGAGAGGAGCAGACAGCGUGUGGGUACAAUGUGGGCAAAACAUCUCUUGUCCUGUCCUCUCAAAAGCAAAGGCUAAAAACAGGAGGGAAGGGGGAGCAGCCUCUGCUUUCAGGGCAGAAACCACAUAUAUAAAAUUUGUGACGAUUCUCCUUUCCAGUCUUGCCCGUGGACACAUAAUAGAAAAUAUUAAUCGAGGCCAGCUACAUUUCCUGCACUAUUUGGUGCUCUCCUGAGCUGUUCCUUAGGAAAGAUACCAGCAAGCCUUCCCGUUUUUUUCUUCCCCCUUCUGUUCCUAUUUACUACCACUGCCUUCUCUCCCUCCCCUCUCAUCUCCCAAGCACCAAAAAUAAUUUGAAUUUCAAGCUUUUUUUUUUCUUGGCCUUCCUGUGGGUGUGGGAGGACCUCCUUUGGGAAUUGUUCUGGAUCUAGUCGGCUCCAUCUGUAAUUUGGCAAAAUCUCUGUCUGCACCCCGCCCCCACUUCCUUUUCUUGAUACAUGUUGUCCGGGUGUCCCCCACCCCACAAAGAGCCUCCUAUAUCUAAUCCUUGGGUGACCAAACUGAGAGUAGCCCCCCCCCGGGCGGGGGCCCCCCCAUAGGUCUGCAGCCUCCACUUACCCCGCCCCUGGUUUUGGAAG